rnacentral:rRNA from 1 species
UACGUAGGGUGCGAGCGUUGUCCGGAAUUAUUGGGCGUAAAGGGCUCGUAGGCGGUUUGUCGCGUCGGGAGUGAAAUCCACUGGCUUAACUGGUGGCUUGCUUUCGAUACGGGCAGACUGGAGGUAUGCAGGGGAGAACGGAAUUCCUGGUGUGGCGGUGAAAUGCGCAGAUAUCAGGAGGAACACCGGUGGCGAAGGCGGUUCUCUGGGCAUGUCCUGACGCUGAGGAGCGAAAGUGUGGGGAGCGAACAGG